CUUUUAUAUGUUUAGGAUUAAUUAGGUGCCCAUUUUGUUAUUAGUUUGUGUAUAUGUGUGUUUAAAUCAAAUUCUUAUCCUGUGCAGAGUAUGAUUUAUGGUUUAUUUUAAAGAGUGUUAUUAGUUGGUGUGUUGAGAUUUUUAGUUAGAAAUGUAUACGUGUUUGAACUUGGUUUCUAAUCUAUUUAUAGUAUUAAUUUGGUUUCAAAUUUGAUUGUUUUAGAUUGAUUGAUUUGGUGGAUUGGUGGCUUUGAGUGUUUCGGACAAUUUGACGUGGUGACUUUAAGAGGCUUAGAUAUGUCUUCUGCGGCUAUGCAACAUCACGAAGGUGAUGGUGGGGUAGAUCCUCCUCCAGAUCCAAUGCAGAUAUAGGCUGAUUGUGAGAGAGGUAUCACAUGCAAUUAUUAUUUUUUUGGAUGAAUAUAUUGAAUUAAUUUAUUUAUGUGUAUAUAAUAAUUAUAUGUAUUUGAGAAAUAAUAGUGAUGACUAAAACGAAAAGGCGCGGCAUCAACAAAGGGUUUUCAACUCGAGAAGCUAGAGUUGCAUUAGGUAGACCACUACCACUGGAGUGGGAUGUUCGAGGGAAGACUUACAAAGAAAUUGGUGAUUAUUCCCAACAUUUCUCUAGAGAGAUCGGCAUUCUCAUUCGACAAUAUGCCGAUCCCGACUACGACCGAUGGGAUAAAUUACCCAGCGAAGUUAGGGAUCGCAGACUUCCUCGUCUAGAGGUAAUUUAUUUCUAUAAUUUUUUUAUUGGGUUCACUUUAAUAUUAAAUCUAGCUAAUUUAUUUUAUUUUUUUGAUUCAGGGUGAUUUAUUCGACAUUGAUCGAAGUCGAUAUACCUCAGAGAACCUCCCCGGCAUUCUUUUGGGCAUUCAACGGUCGUGCGCUGAUCGUUACUCGGAGUGGAAGAAUGACUUGUCCACUCAUUUAAAAAACAAUGGUCGAGCACAUCCUCCUGAUGGUUUGGGCAUGGAGAAAUGGCAGAAGGCGCUCCAGUAUUUUGAUCGCCCUGAAGUGAAGAGAAGCGUGCAGGGUUCACAGUCUACGCCAGCCCUUCGUUACAAGAA